GACAUUCAGGUGUUUCCAUACAUCCUUGAAAUAAAGUAGCUGAUCUGGUGGGGACUUGGAGAACUUUUAUGUCUAGCUAGAGGAUUGUAAAUGCACCAAUCAGCACCCUGUGUCUAACUCAAGGUUUGUAAACACACCAAUCAGUGCUCUGUGUCUAGCUAAUCUAAUGGGGACUUGGAGAACUUUUGUGUCUAGCUAAAGGAUUGUAAAUGCACCAAUCAGCACUUUGUGUCUAGCUCAAGGUUUGUAAAUGCACCAAUCAGCACUCUGUGUCUAGCUAAAAGUUUGUAAACGCACCAAUCAGUGCUCUGUGUCUAGCUAAUCUGGUGGGGACU
rnacentral:lncRNA from 10 species